GAUGAACGCUGGCGGCGUGCCUAAUACAUGCAAGUCGAGCGAACAGACGAGGAGCUUGCUCCUCUGAUGUUAGCGGCGGACGGGUGAGUAACACGUGGAUAACCUACCUAUAAGACUGGGAUAACUUCGGGAAACCGGAGCUAAUACCGGAUAACAUGUUGAACCGCAUGGUUCAACAGUGAAAGACGGUCUUGCUGUCACUUAUAGAUGGAUCCGCGCCGCAUUAGCUAGUUGGUAAGGUAACGGCGUACCAAGGCAACGAUGCGUAGCCGACCUGAGAGGGUGAUCGGCCACACUGGAACUGAGACACGGUCCAGACUCCUACGGGAGGCAGCAGUAGGGAAUCGUACGCAAUGGGCGAAAGCCUGACGGAGCAACGCCGCGUGAGUGAAGAAGGUCUUCGGAUCGUAAAACUCUGUUAUUAGGGAAGAACAAAUGUGUAAGUAACUAUGCACGUCUUGACGGUACCUAAUCAGAAAGCCACGGCUAACUACGUG
rnacentral:rRNA from 1 species